rnacentral:rRNA from 1 species
AACGAACGCUGGCGGCAGGCCUAAUACAUGCAAGUCGAGCGCACCUUCGGGUGAGCGGCGGACGGGUUAGUAACGCGUGGGAAUAUGCCCAAAGGUACGGAAUAGCCUCUGGAAACGGAGAGUAAUACCGUAUGUGCCCUUCGGGGGAAAGAUUUAUCGCCUUUGGAUUAGCCCGCGUUGGAUUAGGUAGUUGGUGGGGUAAUGGCCUACCAAGC